UACGUAGGGAGCAAGCGUUGUCCGGAAUCAUUGGGCGUAAAGCGCGCGUAGGUGGCCACAUAAGUCCGUUGUGAAAGUCAAAGGCUCAACCUUUGAAAGCCGAUGGAUACUGUGUGGCUAGAGUACGGAAGAGGCGAGUGGAAUUCCUGGUGUAGCGGUGGAAUGCGCAGAUAUCAGGAGGAACACCAAUAGCGAAGGCGGCUCGCUGGGCCAUACCUGACGCUGAGACGCGAAAGCGUGGGGAGCAAACAGG
rnacentral:rRNA from 1 species